ACAGAGGACUUUCACUUUUUGACGCUGGCAGCUGGAAAUCAGCUCUCGGUUGGACACUGACUGUUGCUGAGUGCCUCCUGGUAUAAAAAAUAUGGAUCCAGAAAAGAAAGAAUCAUUUGAUGUGAACCACAGAGACGCCUGCCAGCCUGGCUGUAAUUCCAGAGGAGAUAGAAAUAGCAGAGCUCAUGGCUCCAACUCCCAUCCUCCCUUUGGCCAGAAGUCCUUCUCCGCAGAUGCCGGAGUUUUAAUUUCUUUCAUUGCCUUGGCUACCUCAAGCCUCAUCCUGGGGUGAUGGAACUUUGUCAGAGCAUCAGGAUUGGGCUGGCAUGCUUUCCAGAGGCCGUGGCCUAGAGAAGCACAUAAGAACAUUUCAUUAUCUCCUUAGGAGGCACGGUCAGGAUGUCAUUGUCCCUCCUGUUUCCUUCAAGCCAAGUGACCCCACCAAAGGAAGUCAUGUGAUUGAACCCACCACCACCAUCUCCAUCAACUCUCCUUGCCCCCAACCCCAUCAUAUAAUCUAAAGAAAAGCACUGUGCUUGCUAACUCCAGAGAGUAAACCCACUCCACACACACUGCUACAGCAAACUCCUGGAGUUAAGCUGAACUUGCUCAAGCAUGAACGCCUGAAAUAGUUUCCACAAAUGCUGCUAAUGUGUAAGAAACAACUUAUAUAAUGCAGAGUUCCUUUGAUCCUCAUAGUUUACAUUUCUAGAAGGUUUUUUGCAAAUUGUUCAUUUUAUGUAUCCACGAGGCUGGGCCAUGGUGCCCAGAUACUUGAUCAAACAUUAUUCUGGAUGCUCCAGUGAAGAUGUUUUUGGAUGAGAUUAACAUUGACAUUGGUGGAUUUGGAGUAAAGCAAUUUACCCUUAAUAAUGGAGCUUGGCUUCGUCCAGUCUGUUGAAGACCUUAAAGAAACAGAUGGUCUUCCCUUGAGCAAGGCUCAAAUUGCAGUUCUUCCUGAAUCUCCAGCCGCUGGCCUACCCCAUCUGGGCUCACCCAGCUUCCACAAUCACGUGAGUCAAUUCUCUAAAAUAAAAGUCUCUUUCUAUAUAUUUA